GUUGUCCUCGGUGGAAGCGGAGGAGGAGGAGGCGCUCCUGGCCAAGGUCUGGCGGGAGGAGGUGGCGCGGAAGCGGGCGGGCUCCCUGGGAGCUCCUCGCCGUGCUGCGGGAGGCCAGGUGCGCCGCGGUGCGGGUGCGAGCUGCAGCAGCGCAAGGUGGCCGCGCGGUGGAGCUGAUGGCACGGGUCGGAGCCUGCCGGACGCGGGCAUGGCGCAGCGCGGCUGAACGCGGGCCGAUGCGCCGCAGGGAGGAGGUGGCGGGGGGAUAGCUUGGGGCAUGGCGCGGCCAGGGUGGGCGGACGAGGCGUCCAGCACGCAGGGCAGACGAGGCUGACUGGUUUUGGUUCAGAUAGAAUUGUUCCAGUCGAAUUGGUGAACAUGGAGAUUUUGUGUGCUUUGGUUUGAACCGGGAAUUAUUUUUGGGUACAUAUUCUGCAAUGGUUGAUGCAAGCCCAUGAUCUGCUCUUCCGAUGGUUCAUGCUUUCCAAGCUUGCUUCCCAACAUUUUUUCUUAUGAGGAGAUGCAGAGCACCACGGGGAGCCGGAGGAGGAGGAGGACAUGCGGUGGUGCUUCAAAUCCUUGAUCCCAAGCCAGAGAUUCGUGCAGGGAAUGGAGGUGGAGGUGGCCGGCCGUUCGAAAUAUUGUGCGAGCCAGCAGCGGUGACACGGUCCUUCUCCUCCCUCCUUACUUGUGGUGGGCUAGGUCCGGAGCUUGAUGGUUGUCGGAGCCGCUCGUCCACCUUGUACCUGAUUUGCUUUGAGCAGAGAAAAUUAGAGAGGGGUGGUGGAUUCGCAUGCUCGACAUCCCGCCAGCUAGGAUUUGAUGGCGGAGAGAUGCGAAGUCUAGCUUGAUUGUUGGCUUCUUUAUUAUAUGGACGUGAUGUAGAUGUUUCAUGCCUUCCUAGCCCCCUUUCCCCUAUCUCAGCACCUAUAUUUCAUCUUGAUUUUUGGUUGUAUCUGCACCAAUUCUUUCUCUUCUCCAUUAAUCCGAAGCUUUCCGUCAAGGGAAUUUUUUUAUUCAUUUAGAUGCAAAAAUUAGAGUGAGAAAAUGGUUGGAAUAUGGAUUUUACUGAUUCAUA